AACAUUAUGCGUUGUGAAGCGUAGACUAUAGUUGUUUAUCUAAACUCAAAUUUUACCUCAUUCAACCGCUUCACCUUUCUUGAGCUAUAGUUCUUCAGUUACAUUUUUAAUAACGUCCCCUGCUUAGGAUGCCAAUUCUCAUUAUUUGCCAUCAAGUAAUUCGUUCUUAGUUUCCUAUUUAAACGCAACCUUGUAGAAUCAGUUCGGAAAGCAUUCUUUAACAAAGGCAAAACUACUGCGUGAAUCCUCCGCAAGAAAAUGGCAACCAAAAUGUUUCCUUGCUUAAUUUGUAUACUUGUCCUACUGGCGUUAUCUUCACCUGAAUGUGAUGCAAUUGGAAAUGGAGCCCUAGCUGGGAAAAGAUUGUUCAAAGAGAAAAAGAGUGUGAUUGAAGACAUGCGUCAUUUUGCCAUGAAGCGUGAGCUGUGUGAUGCAGCGAAAAGUCUUGGUUGCUGAACUAAACAGUAAAACAUACAGCAAAUAUUCGGCAGGCAGGAAAUAAACUAAACUUGUAUCUUCUCUGAAUUAUGAUGUCAAAUUAAAGAAAUAUGUAACUAAGAGACAUUCUAGCUUACCAUUGUGUGGAAUAAACAGUUUGAAUGUUAAUAAAAUAGUAAAAGAAGG